rnacentral:rRNA from 1 species
AUUGAACGCUGGCGGAAUGCUUUACACAUGCAAGUCGAACGGUAGAGGGGGCAACCCCUCGAGAGUGGCGAACGGGUGAGUAAUAUAUCGGAACGUGCCCAGUCGUGGGGGAUAACGUAGCGAAAGUUACGCUAAUACCGCAUACGAUCUACGGAUGAAAGCGGGGGAUCGCAAGACCUCGCGCGAUUGGAGCGGCCGAUAUCAGAUUAGGUAGUUGGUGGGGGUAAAAGGCUCACCAAGCCAACGAUCUGUAGCUGGUCUGAGAGGACGACCAGCCACACUGGAACUGAGACACGGUCCAGACUCCUACGGGAGGCAGCAGUGGGGAAUUUUGGACAAUGGACGCAAGUCUGAUCCAGCCAUUCCGCGUGCAGGAUGAAGGCCCUCGGGUUGUAAACUGCUUUUGUACGGAACGAAAAGGUCUCUCCUAAUACGAGGGGCUCAUGACGGUACCGUAAGAAUAAGCACCGGCUAACUACGUG